AGAGUUUGAUCAUGGCUCAGGACGAACGCUGGCGGCGCGCUUCAAGCAUGCAAGUCGAACGAGAAACCCGGGCUUGCCCGGGUGGAGAGUGGCGAACGGGUGAGUAACACGUGAGGAACCUGCCCCGAAGACCGGGAUAACGCCGGGAAACUGGUGCUAAUACCGGAUGCCCUCGCCGGACCGCAUGAUCCGGCGAGGAAAUGGAUUCCGCUUCGGGAUGGCCUCGCGGCCUAUCAGCUUGUUGGUGGGGUAACGGCCCACCAAGGCAGCGACGGGUAGCUGGUCUGAGAGGACGACCAGUCACACUGGAACUGAGACACGGUCCAGACACCUACGGGUGGCAGCAGUCGAGAAUUUUUCUCAAUGGGGGAAACCCUGAAGGAGCGACGCCGCGUGGAGGAUGAAGGUCUUCGGAUUGUAAACUCCUUUUGAUAGGGAAGAUAAUGACGGUACCUAUCGAAUCAGCAUCGGCUAACUCCGUGCCAGCCGCCGCGGUAAUAC
rnacentral:rRNA from 1 species